rnacentral:rRNA from 1 species
AGGAUAAACGCUGGCGGCGUGCCUAACACAUGCAAGUCGAACGCGCUUUCGGGCUUCGGUGCGAGAGCGAGUGGCGGACGGGUGAGUAACACAUGGGUACCUACCUUGGAGUGAGGGAUACCGGCGAGAAAUCGCCGACAAUACCGCAUAGGCUUCUUCACAAGGGAAGCAAAGUGACGCGAGUCACGCUGUGAGAUGGGCCUGUGGCCGAUUAGCUAGUUGGGGGGUAACGGCUUCCCAAGGCGACGAUCGGUAGCUGGUCUGAGAGGACGAUCAGCCACACUGGGAUUGAGAACGGCCCAGACUCCUACGGGGGCAGCAGUGAGGAAUUUUCCGCAAUGGAGGCAACUCUGACGGAGCAACGCCGCGUGCAGGAGGAAGGUUUUCGGAUCGUAAACUGCUUUUCUCGGGGACGAGCAAGGACGGUACCCGAGGAAGAAGCCCCGGCUAACUACGCGCCAGCAGCCGC